GGAGAAAUAACACUGGGUUACUCAAAUGAGAGACUGGAAACAUAACAUUCAAUUAAAUAACUUUAUUGAAACAAAUUAAUGAAUAAGUUAGUCAAAUUAGUUCUCAACAAGUAGUAAGCUUUUUAUCGUUUCACUUUUAGAAACCAAAUCAGGUGUGAAUUAGUAAAUAAAAACUCUAAAAAUCAUCAUUAUUCCAUUGGUAACUUCAUCAAUCAUUGAAAUUGCAUGGAAGACAUUUUGUUAGCAUUAUUUUAUUGCUUCGACGUUGUGUUAAUGUCCUUAUAACAAUGUUUCCUUUCAUUAGAGGGAUUUAAAGAAGUGAGGGAGGAUGGAUGGAAUGUUGUAAUGGCAGCAAGUCAGAGGGCCCGUCCCAAAUGGCAUCCUAUUCCCUAUAUAGUGCACUACUUUUGAGCAGGGCCCAUCAGGCUCUGGGUCAACAGUAGUGCACCACAAGGAAUAGGGUGCCAUUUGGGAUGAAGGCAGAGUGAGUGGUGUGAUGGAAUCGGUAAAGGUACAGAAAGAGAAGUACAUGCAGGAGAAGACUUGAGAUUGGAUCAUGCAUAGCAUUCGUGUCGAUUAGAAUAUCAGAGAUGUGCGGAUCUCAGUUCCUAUAGAUGCUAACGCCCCGUUAGAGGUGGCCAGGGCUCUGAGGUAGUUGUGUGGAAGCCAUAUGAUCUACGUGACCAUGCGUAUGAAGGGACAGUAAUGUCACUGUGUGACGCUCAAGGUCAUGCCUCCUGUCACAGUUUAAAAUUGGACAGAAUUUAAAUACAUAAGAGUUGCAAUGGUUACAUUUUAAAAAAUGUGCAAUUGACACGUUCAUCCCAGUCUUGUGGGACAAAUAACAUGUUGCUGUGUAAUAAAGGGACUGAGAUCACAAAGGAAAAUAUACAUUCCCUCAAACCAGUAGUUAUAUUUGUGUGAUGUAAUAUGUAGCACAUGGUUCUGUAAUCUAGCCACUCAACACCAUUGGCAGGAAGACCCAGAGGACCCCAUUCAUGUCACUCAGAGAAGAAAAUAUAAAGAUAUUCAACUCCAGAGACUAACACAUUUCAUGCGACACAACGGUUUAAUAUAGAUUCAUGUGUACUGUGUUGCUCAGAAUGAACAAUGAAUUGGUUGGACUUUCAAUCUGAUGUCAUUUGGGUUGUAGUUUAGGACAAUAAGAAAAAUCUAUUUACCAUCCAACAAUACAGUGCCUUAAUGAACGUGUUGUUGCCAACGUACUGUAACAAAAGCACCUGAUUGUGCCAUUGAGUUAAAACUCCCAAGAGUAAAAUGUUUCUCAGAAUCUCCAGUCGCUUUGAAUGGAACAUUUAUGCACCUGAAUCAACUAACUGCUGGCUUGAUUGAACCAAAUUAACUUGUCCAAGCCUCUCAUGGGGCCAUAGACUUUCUUGCACUGGCUGAAAACAGAACUGUGAUUCUGAGAAAAAUAAAAUGUCCUCCAUUGUUAGGGCAGGAUGCAAUUAUGGAUAACGACAGUCAAAUCAAUAGUUGAGCUCUGGGAAUUGUUGUAUAACGUGUGUGUGUGUGUGAGUGAGUGAGUGAGUGAGUGAGUGAGUGAGUGAGAGAGAGAGAGAGAGAGAGAGAGAGAGAGAGAGAGAGAGAGAGAGAGAGAGAGCGAGAGAGAGAGACAUUCUCUAACUGGGAACAGUCACAUGUGUCUUUGAUUAGACAAAAAUGCUACAUUUAUUUGAAGAUUUUAAAGAUAUCAUAUCACAAACAAUGGGACACAAAUAGUGACUGAAAUCUUACAUUCACUUUAAACAAUCAAAAGCAUUAAAAAAACACAAUCAUAGAAAUGUGACAUGUUCUUCUAGCUCUCAGAGGAGAAACAGUGGAGGUAUGAACAAAUAAGAUAAAAAAAUCAACACAACUUGAAACAAAUGGCAGACAAAAAACAUCGAAAUAGGACACCUUUUCUGAUUAGGUUUAUUUCUGGAUCCUCUUCAGGUGCCAUAGUGUCCACUACAGUGUUCUCCAGUUCUGUCCAUUAGAAACACAUUCCAUACAGUAUCUCUAUGAGCGAACCAUUGUUUAGGGUCAGUAAACCAUAAACAUAUGGCUAAAGUGGACAAGCUAUUCUAGAUAACGCAAGAGGGGCUUCUGCAUUGAAUUCUGUCAGGGUAAGAGGGGAAUUCUGUCAGGGUUAGAGGUGAAAUCUGUCAGGGUUAGAGGUGAAUUCUGCCAGGGUAAGAGGUGAAAUCUGUCAGGGUUAGAGGUGAAAUCUGUCAGGGUUAGUGGUGAAAUCUGUCAGGGUUAGAGGUGAAUUCUGUCAGGGUUAGAGGUGAAUUCUACCAGGGUUAGAGGUGAAUUCUGCCAGGGUAAGAGGUGAAUUCUGCCAGGGUUAGAGGUGAAAUCUGUCAGGGUUAGUGGUGAAAUCUGUCAGGGUUAGAGGUGAAUUCUGCCAGGGUUAGAGGUGAAUUAAGCCAGGGUUAGUGGUGAAUUAAGCCAGGGUUAGUGGUGAAAUCUGUCAGGGUUAGAGGUGAAUUCUGCCAGGGUUAGAGGUGAAUUCUGACAGGGUUAGAGGUGAAUUCUGUCAGGGAUAGAGGUGAAAUCUGUCAGGGUUAGAGGUGAAUUCUGCCAGGGUUAGAGGUGAAUUCUGCCAGGGUUAGAGGUGAAUUCUGCCAGGGUUAGAGGUGAAUUCUGUCAGGGUUAGAGGCAGUAAAGGAGUCAUUAUAAGACCGAACUGUUGGCUAAGAUGCAUGCAUAUAUAAGCGAGGCUACAGUACCAGAGAUCAUGCUUCUGACAUGGAUGGAUGCCUCCCAGGCAUUAUCUUAUCAGCCACCACCUGACCGUGCCAUUAAGCAUUCACAUGACUGGCUAUAGAACAACAACAGUAGAAGUUGAGAAGGUGCCUGUGUCGGGGUGAACCAACUAGAAAAUAGUUCUCUCUUUAUCUCCAAUGAGAGAAACUAAGGCUCUGGUCCAACAUCCAGACUAGCACACUGCUUUGAAGCUAUUAUAGUUGGUGUAUGCCUUAGCACGCUAGUGUCGAUGUUUGGAACAUAGCUGAUGUAGUUGAUUGGUUUGGAAUACACCUCAUCAUAGACAUGAGCUGAAUGGCCCACCUAAACCACCUAGCCCACACAGGAGUGAGAUACUGCGCAACAAAGACUGAUGAGUAUUGAUACAGAGAGAGGGACACAACCCUCUAAAAUCUGACCAGGGAUCAGUGUUGUCUUACCCUUUGGUCUGGUCUGAGGAGCAUGCAUGCCUGAGGGGUGGGCUUCAAGGGAGAGGUUUUUAAAGGGAUCAACAGGUAGAAAACAUACAAUAUCCCUGUUAACCUGACCCUGUGUGAAGAAGUGUAUAAAGUAUCUUGCGAAUGCCAUGAGGGAAUGCUAGAGAGAGAGAACGAGAGAGUGCCCAUUCCAGAACUCAGAUUGUGAAAAUAAAGAGCCUUCCUUCUUGUCAGUCUGUUUCUCCCUAUCAUACAAGACCAUAUUGACUUUAUUAAAGAAAGAGUGACUUCCUUUUCUUUCUUGUAAAGUGGGCUUAUUGCAGAGAGAAUCAUGAAUCAGGGGAAUGUGGUAGAGUGGCAUGGAUGUACUUCAAUGAAGGAUGAAAUAAGUGUCACAUACAUGUGAAGCCUGAGUUCUUCUCUUGUCGUAACCUAGUCAGUCACUUUCUUUUCAGGAGAACAUACUGUGAAUGAAAACGAGGGAAGAACGAGUACCAUGUAACAACCUGGACAAGAGGGCAAAGUGAGAGAGCUGAUGUUUUGGUGAAACGUUUGUAGGUUUUUCCAUCCAUGUCAAGUCAUCCAUUUUGGGAUCUGGGUAGCCCCACAGGAGUAGAGGUGGACAUGAAGUCUUUGCAGUGCCUCGGAAAGAGGGUUGAGUUGAGCUGUGGUCAGUAUGGUGGGGACGUGAGGUGAGGAGGGGACAGCAAAGACCCCGGGCACACAGUACAUUCAUCAGAAGCUCAGAGACAGUCUCCCAUAGCAUCAGAUGAGAGCCUGACAAACAAGAACUGAAAUUACCCUGAAACAAAAGUCCUGAAUGUUGGAGAGCUGCAGCAGUUCUUCACUCAUUCAUCUGGAAGUUUACUGAUUACAAACAAAUAAACAAAUAAAGCAGGAGAAUAAAUAAAUAUUACUGAUACCAGAACACAGAAUCUGGUAAAAAAUGUACAAAAAACCCAACUUUGUUAAAAGUUCAUAUCUAUACUUGCAGGUUUAGGAACAUGCAUAGAUAGAUACAAUAUGUUUAACGUUGUUGUUGAGUGAAACUGGUUUGGUUUUGUUGUCAAGUAGUAGUCAUACGCUCUCAUUUCUUCUUCUUUUACCACGGAGGAACUGAGACAGAGAGGAACUGAGACAGAGAGGAACUGAGACAGAGAGGAACUGAGACAGAGAGGAACUGAGACAGAGAGGAACUGAGACAG
ensembl:lncRNA